rnacentral:rRNA from 1 species
UGGGGAAUAUUGGACAAUGGGCGGAAGCCUGAUCCAGCCAAGCCGCGUGUGUGAAGAAGGCCUUUUGGUUGUAAAGCACUUUAAGCGAGGAGGAGGCUACUUGGAUUAAUACUCUAGGAUAGUGGACGUUACUCGCAGAAUAAGCACCGGCUAACUCUGUGCCAGCAGCCGCGGUAAUACAGAGGGUGCGAGCGUUAAUCGGAUUUACUGGGCGUAAAGCGUGCGUAGGCGGCUUCUUAAGUCGGAUGUGAAAUCCCUGAGCUUAACUUAGGAAUUGCAUUCGAUACUGGGAAGCUAGAGUAUGGGAGAGGAUGGUAGAAUUCCAGGUGUAGCGGUGAAAUGCGUAGAGAUCUGGAGGAAUACCGAUGGCGAAGGCAGCCAUCUGGCCUAAUACUGACGCUGAGGUACGAAAGCAUGGGGAGCAAACAGG